UUCCUACGGGAGGCAGCAGUGAGGAAUAUUGGUCAAUGGGCGGGAGCCUGAACCAGCCAAGUCGCGUGAGGGACGACGGUCCUAUGGAUUGUAAACCUCUUUUGUCGGGGAACAAAGGCGGAGACGCGUCUCCGGAUGAGUGUACCCGAAGAAAAAGCAUCGGCUAACUCCGUGCCAGCAGCCGCGGUAAUACGGAGGAUGCGAGCGUUAUCCGGAUUUAUUGGGUUUAAAGGGUGCGCAGGCGGGAGAUCAAGUCAGCGGUAAAAUGUCGGGGCUCAACCCCGGCCGGCCGUUGAAACUGGUUU
rnacentral:rRNA from 1 species